rnacentral:rRNA from 1 species
UACAGAGGGUGCGAGCGUUGUCCGGAAUCACUGGGCGUAAAGGGCGCGUAGGUGGUGGCUUAAGCGUGCGGUGAAAGCUCGGGGCUCAACUCCGAGUCGGCCGCGCGAACUGGGCUCACUGGAGCAUAGUAGAGGCAGGUGGAAUUCCGGGUGUAGCGGUGGAAUGCGUAGAGAUCCGGAAGAACACCGGUGGCGAAGGCGGCCUGCUGGGCUAUGGCUGACACUGAGGCGCGACAGCGUGGGGAGCAAACAGG